GAAAAAGCAAAGAUGAGAAGAAGUAAUUUUCAGGGGAAUGCACAGAAAGCAGCCGGCUGAUGAGAGGCGCGCAGGAAGCUGGAAAUGAAUACAUCUCGGAGCUUCACACCGAAAAGAAAUGAGUAGGCUGUGACGGAAAGGUGCACGUUAUAGCAUUUUGAGUAUCGCUUCGGCUGUACUUGCAGAGGCAGGCAAUGCGAGUUGUCUGUGAAUAAAGGUGGUAACACGAGAAGGCUUAUCGCUCUCGUCCUUUUU
rnacentral:ncRNA from 1 species